GAUGAACGCUGGCGGCGUGCUUAACACAUGCAAGUCGAACGAUUGAAGCUGGAGCUUGCUCCGGCCGAUUUAGUGGCGGACGGGUGAGUAACGCGUGGGUAACCUGCCUCAUACAGGGGGAUAGCAGUUGGAAACGACUGGUAAAACCGCAUAAGCGCACGGUGUCGCAUGGCACAGUGUGAAAACACUCCGGUGGUAUGAGAUGGACCCGNGUCUGAUUAGCUAGUUGGUGAGGUAACGGCCUACCAAGGCGACGAUCAGUAGCCGGCCUGAGAGGGUGAACGGCCACAUUGGGACUGAGAUACGGCCCAGACUCCUACGGGAGGCAGCAGUGGGGAAUAUUGGGCAAAUGGGCGCAAGGCCUGGACCCAGCAACGCCGCGUGAAGGAG
rnacentral:rRNA from 1 species